UACGUAGGGUGCAAGCGUUAUCCGGAAUUAUUGGGCGUAAAGAGCUCGUAGGCGGUUUGUCGCGUCUGCUGUGAAAACUGGAGGCUCAACCUCCAGCCUGCAGUGGGUACGGGCAGACUAGAGUGUGGUAGGGGAGACUGGAAUUCCUGGUGUAGCGGUGAAAUGCGCAGAUAUCAGGAGGAACACCGAUGGCGAAGGCAGGUCUCUGGGCCGAUACUGACGCUGAGGAGCGAAAGCGUGGGGAGCGAACAGG
rnacentral:rRNA from 1 species